CCUACGGGGGGCAGCAGUGGGGAAUAUUGCACAAUGGGGGGAACCCUGAUGCAGCAACGCCGCGUGGGUGAAGAAGUACUCCGGUAUGUAAAGCCCUGUCAGCAGGGAAGAAAAUGACGGUACCUGACCAAGAAGCCGCGGCUAAAUACGUGCCAGCAGCCGCGGUAAUACGUAGGGGGCAAGCGUUAUCCGGAUUUACUGGGUGUAAAGGGAGCGUAGACGGCAAGGCAAGUCUGGAGUGAAAGGCCGGGGCCCAAACACGGGACUGCUUUGGAAACUGUGUUGCUGGAGUGCAGGAGGGGUAAGCGGAAUUCCUAGUGUAGCGGUGAAAUGCGUAGAUAUUAGGAGGAACACCGGUGGCGAAGGCGGCUUACUGGACUGUAACUGACGUUGAGGCUCGAAGGCGUGGGGAGCAAACAGGAUUAGAUACCCCUGUAGUC
rnacentral:rRNA from 1 species